UGGGGAAUCUUGGACAAUGGGGGCAACCCUGAUCCAGCCAUGCCGCGUGAGUGAUGAAGGCCCUAGGGUCGUAAAGCUCUUUCGCCUGUGAUGAUAAUGACAGUAGCAGGUAAAGAAACCCCGGCUAACUCCGUGCCAGCAGCCGCGGUAAUACGGAGGGGGUUAGCGUUGUUCGGAAUUACUGGGCGUAAAGCGCGCGUAGGCGGACUAUUAAGUCAGGGGUGAAAUCCCGGGGCUCAACCCCGGAACUGCCUUUGAUACUGGUAGUCUUGAGUUCGAGAGAGGUGAGUGGAAUUCCGAGUGUAGAGGUGAAAUUCGUAGAUAUUCGGAGGAACACCAGUGGCGAAGGCGGCUCACUGGCUCGAUACUGACGCUGAGGUGCGAAAGUGUGGGGAGCAAACAGGAUUAGAUACCCCCGUAGUCC
rnacentral:rRNA from 1 species